UAUUUGUUAUUAUCCCGUAAUUACCACUUGUAGCCACAGUGGGUGCUGUUUAGCUAAGGUUAAGCUAAGCCUAGCUUAAAGCAACUGUUCUGAAUCCAAGCUGAUUACAGGCUCUGUUUUCCAUGAAGGACCAACCUACAAACUUUUGACAACCACCUUUUAAGUCUACAGGAGGAUCCAGCAGAGGUCUUCUGACGGGGUGUCAAAGAGUUUGGGUCUGCUUUUGCUACUGAUAGUGAGCCUAAGGAGGAAGUAAUAUGCACCUCACCAGUGGGCGUAGAAGAAUCGCUAGAAGUCAGCAUGGAUGGGGAGAACUUUGAAAGCGCUGGUGAUGUCCGGUUUCGAGAGCCACAACCCUUUCCCGAGACCUGCUCCACCAACAUCCCGGAUCAAGCACUCAAUGUGUGGACCGUGUUCUGAGCUGAAGGAGCACAAGACUCCAGCGGGAUGAGGGGAGGCGGACUCUGUGUUUACAUCGAUGCUGCUUGGUGCUCAAGUGCAGUAAAAGUGAACAGACACGUUUCCAGAUGUCGAACAUUUUAUGUGAAGAUAAUAACCAUUUUAUUAUCUUCACUAUCUUGUUGCUGCUGUCUCGCAUUCCCCCAGAUUCAAAUUAAAAAAAUGCAAUGAAUUA